UAGAGGAAGUAAAAGUCGUAACAAGGUUUCCGUAGGUGAACCUGCGGAAGGAUCAUUAUUGAGAGACGGCGGCCUAACCGGCCCCAACUCUUUCAUCCGUGAGCGGUGUACUGGCGUUGCUUUGGCGGUUGAAGUUCGCCCCGCGCGGACUCCUGCCAGAAGCCCCCGAAAUCCUGCUAUCAGUGACGUCUGAGUAUCAAUAUAAUUGGAAAACUUUCAACAACGGAUCUCUUGGUUCUGGCAUCGAUGAAGAACGCAGCGAAAUGCGAUAAGUAAUGUGAAUUGCAGAAUUCAGUGAACCAUCGAAUCUUUGAACGCAUAUUGCGCCCCCUGGUAUUCCGGGGGGCAUGCCUGUUCGAGCGUCAUUGCACUCUCAAGCGUUGCUUGGUCAUGGGUCUCGCCAUGGAGGCGGGCCCGAAACUCAGUGGCGGUCCAGCGAGGCCUCCGGUGAACGGGAUAUUGUAUCGCGCCGUUGGGGCUGUUCGCUGCGACCCGCCUUGCCCCCGUAGCUUUCACGAUUGACCUCGGAUCAGGUAGGGAUACCCGCUGAACUUAAGCAUAUCAAUAAGCGGAGGAAAAGAAACCAACAGGGAUUGCCCCAGUAACGGCGAGUGAAG
rnacentral:sRNA from 1 species